GUCGAGCCCGUGACAUCGUACCUUUUGUAUAAUGGGUCAGCGAGUUCGUCUGUCUAGCAAGCUUAAGCCACAAGGCGAAGGCGCAGCGAAAGCGAGUCUGAAUAGGGCGACUGAGUUAGACGGAUGAGACCCGAAAGCAAGUGAUCUAGCCAUGACCAGGUUGAAGGUGCAGUAACAUGCACUGGAGGACCGAACCCACGCCUGUUGAAAAAGUCGGGGAUGAGUUGUGGCUAGGGGUGAAAGGCCAAUCAAACUUGCAGAUAGCUGGUUCUCUGCGAAAGCUAUUUAGGUAGCGCCUCGUGUAUCACCUUUGGGGGUAGAGCACUGGAUGGGCUAGGGGGCUUCACCGCUUACCAAACCUAACCAAACUCCGAAUACCAAAGAGUGCUGAGCACGGGAGACACACGGCGGGUGCUAACGUCCGUCGUGAAGAGGGAUAAAAACCCUGACCUACAGCUAAGGCCCCCAAUUUAUGGCUAAGUUGUUAAGGAUGUGAGGUUCCCAAAACAAUCAGGAUGUUGGCUUAGAAGCAGCCAUCAUUUAAAGAAAGCGUAACAGCUCACUGAUCUAAAUAAGGAACUUUGCGCCGAAAAUGUAACGGGGAUUAAGCCAUAAGCCGAAGCUUAGGAUUCACCGCAAGGUGAAUGGUAGCAGAGUGUUCUGUAUGCCUGCGAAGGGUGAGCGUGAGCGAGCCUGGAGGUAUCAGAAGUAAGAAUGCUGACAUGAGUAGCGAUAAAGAGGGUGAGAGACCCUCUCGCCGUAAGUCCAAGGGUUCCUGCGUCAAGUUAAUCUGCGCAGGGUUAGCCGGCCCCUAAGGCAAGGCCGAAAGGCGUAGUCGAUGGGAAUGCGGUAAAUAUUCCGCAGCCUGCUGGAAGUGACGGAUCAAGUAACUUGUUCGACCUUACUGGAUUGGUCGGGCCGGGAAUUGGUCCCAGGAAAUAGCUCCAGCUUAUAGCCCGUACCCUAAACCGACACAGGUGGACUGGCAGAGUAUGCUAAGGCGCUUGAGAGAACUGUAUUGAAGGAACUAGGCAAAUUGCCCUCGUAACUUCGGAAGAAGAGGGCCCGAUUCUUACGCAAGUAGGAGUCGGGGGCACAUAGCAGGGGGUGGCGACUGUUUACUAAAAACACAGGACGCUGCGAAAUCCAAAGAUGACGUAUAGCGUCUGACGCCUGCCCGGUGCUGGAAGGUUAAGAGGAGAUGUGAAAGCGUUGAAUCGAAGCCCCAGUAAACGGCGACCGUAACGAUAACGGUCCUAAGGUAGCGAAAUUCCUUGUCGGGUAAGUUCCGACCUGCACGAAAGGCGUAACGACUUCCCCACUGUCUCCAAUACAGGCUCAGCGAAAUUGAAUUCCCCGUGAAGAUGCGGGGUUCCCGCGGUCAGACGGAAAGACCCCGUGCACCUUUACUGCAACUUUACACUGGCAUUAGGAAUGGGAUGUGUAGAAUAGGUGGUAGGCAUUGAAACCGCGGCGCUAGCUGUGGUGUAGCCGAAAUGUGAAAUACCACCCUUCUUGUUCCUGAUGUCUAACCGCGGUCCCGAAACG
rnacentral:rRNA from 1 species